rnacentral:rRNA from 1 species
CGAGUUUGAUCAUGGCUCGAGGACGACGCUGGCGGCGUGCCUAAUACAUGCAAGUCGAGCGGACCAAAGGGAGCUUGCUCCUGGAGGUUAGCGGCGAACGGGUGAGUAACACGUGGGCAACCUGCCUGUAAGACUGGGAUAACAUCGAGAAAUCGGUGCUAAUACCGGAUAAUAAAAAGAACUGCAUGGUUCUUUUUUGAAAGAUGGUUUCGGCUAUCACUUACAGAUGGGCCCGCGGCGCAUUAGCUAGUUGGUGAGGUAACGGCUCACCAAGGCAACGAUGCGUAGCCGACCUGAGAGGGUGAUCGGCCACACUGGGACUGAGACACGGCCCAGACUCCUACGGGAGGCAGCAGUAGGGAAUCUUCCGCAAUGGACGAAAGUCUGACGGAGCAACGCCGCGUGAGUGAUGAAGGUUUCGGAUCGUAAAACUCUGUUGUUAGGGAAGAACAAGUGCCGUUCGAAAGGGCGGCACCUUGACGGUACCUAACGAGAAAGCCACGGCUAACUACGUG